UACGAAGGGGGCUAGCGUUGCUCGGAAUCACUGGGCGUAAAGCGCACGUAGGCGGACUAUUAAGUCAGGGGUGAAAUCCCGGGGCUCAACCCCGGAACUGCCUUUGAUACUGGUAGUCUCGAGUCCGGAAGAGGUGAGUGGUAUUCCGAGUGUAGAGGUGAAAUUCGUAGAUAUUCGGAGGAACACCAGUGGCGAAGGCGGCUCACUGGUCCGGUACUGACGCUGAGGUGCGAAAGCGUGGGGAGCAAACAGG
rnacentral:rRNA from 1 species